GAUGAACGCUAGCUACAGGCUUAACACAUGCAAGUCGAGGGGCAGCGCAGUGUAGCAAUACAUGGGCGGCGACCGGCGCACGGGUGCGUAACGCGUAUCCAACCUUCCCGUUACUCAGGGAUAGCCUUCCGAAAGGGAGAUUAAUACCUGAUGGUGUUUCAAUUCCGCAUGUUAAUGAAACUAAAGAUUUAUCGGUAUCGGAUGGGGAUGCGUGACAUUAGAUAGUAGGCGGGGUAACGGCCCACCUAGUCUACGAUGUCUAGGGGUUCUGAGAGGAAGGUCCCCCACACUGGAACUGAGACACGGUCCAGACUCCUACGGGAGGCAGCAGUGAGGAAUAUUGGUCAAUGGUCGAGAGACUGAACCAGCCAUGCCGCGUGAAGGUCACGGCCCUAUGGGUCUUAAACUUCUUUUUGUAAGGGAGCAAUAAGGUUCACGUGUGGACUGAUGAGAGUACCUUACGAAUAAGCAUCGGCUAACUCCGUG
rnacentral:rRNA from 1 species